AGUGAACGCUGGCGGUAGGCCUAACACAUGCAAGUCGAACGGCAGCACAGUAAGAGCUUGCUCUUACGGGUGGCGAGUGGCGGACGGGUGAGGAAUACAUCGGAAUCUACUUUUUCGUGGGGGAUAACGUAGGGAAACUUACGCUAAUACCGCAUCGGACUUACGGGUGAAAGCAGGGGAUCUUCGGACCUUGCGCGAUUGAAUGGGCCGAUGUCGGAUUAGCUAGUUGGCGGGGUAAAGGCCCACCAAGGCGACGAUCCGUAGCUGGUCUGAGAGGAUGAUCAGCCACACUGGAACUGAGACACGGUCCAGACUCCUACGGGAGGCAGCAGUGGGGAAUAUUGGACAAUGGGCGCAAGCCUGAUCCAGCCAUACCGCGUGGGUGAAGAAGGCCUUCGGGUUGUAAAGCCCUUUUGUUGGGAAAGAAAAGCAGCAGGUUAAUACCCCGCUGUUCUGACGGUACCCAAAGAAUAAGCACCGGCUAACUUCGUG
rnacentral:rRNA from 1 species